AACGCUGGCGGCGCGCUUAACACAUGCAAGUCGAGCGAGAACCUUUCCUUCGGGAUUGGGGACAGCGGCGAACGGGUGAGUAACACGUGGGUAAUCUGCCCUCGGCAUCGGGAUAGCCCGGGGAAACCCGGAUUAAUACCGAAUAGCCUCCGGAGCCUUCGGGCGCCGGAGAAAAGGUAGCUUCGGCCUCUGGCCGAGGAUGAGCCCGCGGCGGAUUAGCUUGUUGGCGGGGUAACGGCCCACCAAGGCGACGAUCCGUAGCUGGUCUGAGAGGACGAUCAGCCACACUGGGACUGAGACACGGCCCAGACUCCUACGGGAGGCAGCAGUGGGGAAUCUUGCGCAAAUGCGGGAAACCGUGACGCAGCGACGCCGCGUGGGGGAAGAAGGCCUUCGGGUUGUAAACCUCUUUCAGGAGGGACGAAGCUACUCGGGUGAAUAGCCCAGAGGGUGACGGUACCUUCAGAAGAAGCCCCGGCUAACUACGUGCCAGCCGCCGCCGUAAGAC
rnacentral:rRNA from 1 species